rnacentral:rRNA from 1 species
CCUACGGGUGGCAGCAGUGAGGAACAUUCGGCAAUGGACGAGAGUCUGAACCAGCCAAGUCGCGUGAAGGAUGACUGCUCUAUGGGUUGUAAACUUCGUUUAUAAAGAAGUAAAACGAGGCACGUAUCCCUUUGUGCAUUUACUGUAUGUAUCAGGAUAGCCUAACCACGGGCCAUCCGCCGCGGUAAUACGAAGGAUACGAGCGUUAUCCGGAUUUAUUGGGUUUAAAGUGAGCGUAGAUGGGUUGUUAAGUCAGUUGUGAAAGUUUGCGGCUCAACCGAAGAAGUGCAAUUGAUACUGGCAGUCUUGAGUGCAGUAGAGGUAAGCGGAAUUCGUGGUGUAGCGGUGAAAUGCUUAGAUAUCAGGAAGAACACCGAUGGCGAAGGCAGCUUACUAAUCUGUGACUGACAUUGAGGCUCGAAAGUGUGGGGAUCAAACAGGAUUAGAUACCCGAGUAGUC